GGCGAACGGGUGAGUAACGCGUGGAUGACCUGCCCUUUAGCGGGGAAUAACCCGGGGAAACUCGGGCUAAUACCGCAUAAGACCGAGAGGUGAAAGGGGGCUCGCAAGGGCUCUCGCUGAAGGAGGGGUCCGCGUCCGAUUAGCUAGUUGGUAGGGUAAUGGCCUACCAAGGCGACGAUCGGUAGCCGGCCUGAGAGGGUGAUCGGCCACACUGGAACUGAGACACGGUCCAGACUCCUACGGGAGGCAGCAGUGGGGAAUUUUGCGCAAUGGGCUAACGCCUGACGCAGCAACGCCGCGUGGAGGAUGAAGGUCUUUGGAUUGUAAACUCCUGUCAGCAGGGAAAAAGGGAGGGGACCUAAUACGUCCUCGACUUGAUUGUACCUGCAGAGGAAGCCCCGGCUAACUCUGUGCCAGCAGCCGCGG
rnacentral:rRNA from 1 species